rnacentral:rRNA from 1 species
CAGCGCCACGAGUGGCAAUCACGUUUAUUGGGCCUAAAGCGUCCGUAGCCGGUUUAGCAAAUCUUUUGUGAAAUCGUCAGGCUUAACUUGACGAAUUGCAGAAGACACUACUAAACUCGGGACCGGGAGGAGUCAGAAGUAUUCAGGGGGGACCGGUAAAAUGGUAUAAUCCCCUGAGGACUACCGAUGGCGAAGGCAUCUGACCAGAACGGAUCCGACGGUGAGGGACGAAAGCCAGGGGAGCGAACCGGAUUAGAUACCCGAGUAGUCC